AUGGUCAACAAAUUCAGAGCUCAUGAUAAGAAAUCUGUGAACUCUCUGGCUGCUCACCCAACAAAGCCAUACCUUCUUUCAUCAUCUACUAUUGGUACAAAUAUCAAGGUUUGGGACAGGAGCAAUAAGUGGAAGAUAUUUCAAAAUUUCGACACGAAACCUGAGAUUGCAUAUUACAAUGGUGUGCGCAGUGUCAAGUUGAAUCCAAGGGAUACCAACACUUUUGCUUGUGUUACCCGUUAUGACGGAGUAAAGGUCGGGAACAUCAAACCUUCCAGUCUUGAAACCACACUGACGGGGUCAUUCGUCAUGGCCGAUUAUUUGUUCACUCGUGGUGAUGAGCACUUGAUGGUUACUUUGAAAUUUGACGCACACAACACCGAGACACGAAAAGUUGUUCACACUCUUAGCGUGAGUGGGCACAAAACGACCUGGGUUGCUUGCCACCCAAAGCUUCCAAUACUGGUUACAGUGUUAGAUGACGGGACUGUAUGUUUGUGGGAUGUCAGUACCUACAGGCUUGAGAAAAUGGUUCACAUUACCGACAGCAAGUGUCGUGAUUUGGUAUUUGUCCCAGACACAAAUGACCCACUCAGGCUCGCUAUUGCAUUUGAGACAAUGAUAGCAAUCAUGGAGGUUAAUUUGCCAAUUGCGAAUACAAGCAAUGCAAGUGGACUAAUAACGGGAACUAACUAG
rnacentral:rRNA from 1 species